CUCUGUUAGUUUUGGGGUUUUUGGUUUGGUGCAUGCAUGUGUGCUGCCAUACGUUGUCUUGCCUAAAUCCUUUUAGUUCAGCUGGUCUUCUUUGAUGGGGCAUCCCUCAUUGGUUAUUGUUCGGAUAAUGAGGUUAUGGUUGUUCGCAUAGGCACCUCAGACUAGUGAUCCAUUAGCAACGGCACCUCAGACUGGUGCCCCAUUGUCAACAGCACCUCAAGCUCCUGCAGCAACACCGUGAGUGUGAUAACUUCCAUAAUCUAAAUAUAAGUAUAUUGAUUAACUUUAAAUAUAUAUUGAUUGAUUUUUGGAAUAUCUUGUUUAUUCAGAUUGGCUGCUCCUGCUCCUGUCCCAGUACCCGCAUCACUUGCUGCUCCGGUCGCUUCAGUAGCUACUGCGUCAGUAUCUUAGCGUUGUCCUUUACUUCAUGUUACAGUUUUUGUACUUUUGGCAGUUUAGUUCACUUCCUUCCAUGGUUGGGUGGUCUUCAUUUGGCCCAUGUUUCUGCUGCUUUAAUAUCUUCUUAGUGUCUCUUGAUUCAUGGUGUUUGUAAUUGGAGAGGGAUUGGGUGUCUCUUGAUUCAUUGUGUUUGUAAUUGGAGAGUGAUUGUUGAGGUUCUUCUUUAACAUAUUUCCAAAUUGGUGUUUGCUUUAUUUUAAUAAUUAAUACUAAUCAAGCAGUUGAUGUUUCAGGUCGGAUGUUGAUCCUUAUGGUCAAGCAGCAUCUAAUUUGGUAGCUGGAAAUAACUUGGAGGGAGGCGUCCAGUCCAGCAAAUCAUUGAUAUGGGUGGAGGUGCCUGGGAUAAAGAAACUGUUAUUCGUGCUCUUCGUGCUGCUUAUAACAAUCCAGAAAGAGCUGUUGAAUAUCUGUAUUCUGUAAGUCGUUUAUCAUCAUAUAUUCUCUAAACCAUAAAUUCCUAUGCAAUGGUUUUGAAAUAUGUUGUUAAUGUUCUUGUGGUAAGAAGAUGAGUUGUUAAUUGGUUAAGCUUUGAAAUUAGGAAGUUAAAUCGUCUUCUGAACCCAUACCCUCGAGGAGGACUACUAAUUGUAAUGUUUACUUAUUUUUGUCUAGAGAUACUGCUGAUUUAGCUGCCUUGCCCUGAUGAUCAGUUUAAUAAGGCUUUCUUGCUCUUUUUCUGUAAGUCAUGUAGGUGUUAUAAUAUUUGGGCAUGGGCAUUCCUGCUCUGCAGAUUCUGGAUAAUAAACUCUUAAGCGUUUCUUAAUCAUACUUGCAGAAUGUUCUUUGAUCUAUUAUCAUCACUCUUUAGCUUUUGAGGGCUCUUCUAUACCCCUUAACCACCAAAGGGUGAUGGAUUCAUUUGGUAAUUUUGUUACACGGAUUGUACAUGGGAACUGGGUUCUGUGAUGUCUAAAUUUCUCUACUAUGCAUGCGUCCAGUCAUCUUUAAGUAGUCAGUAUAUUGCUUUCUGUUAGGUUCUUUUGUCUUGAAUUUCUUAUUUAACCAAUGUCAGGGGAUCCCUGAGCAAGCAGAGGCUGCACCUGUACAAGCACCUGUGACUGGUCAACCGGCAAACCCUGCAGUGCCUCAAGCCACACAGGCAGCAGCGCCAACUGCCAGUCCUCCUGCAGGACCCAAUGCGAAUCCUCUGGAUCUUUUCCCUCAGGUAGCCUGGAAUACUUGACGUCUGCCAAUCAAAUAACAAAGUAUGGGUAGCUCGUAUAGUGUGGAAAUGGCUAAUCCUUUUUUCUCUGCUGAAGGGUCUUCCUACUGCUGGAGCAGCAGGUGGUGCCGUUGCAGGAAACCUAGACUUCUUGAGAAACAGUCAACAGGUGAUUUCUUCUUCCUGAAUUAUUCAUAGUCCCUUGCCGUUUCUCAUUUUUUAUUCAUAUCUGAUUUGUAACUGUAUUCUAUUAUCAGUUCCAAGCCUUGCGAGCUAUGGUGCAGGCUAACCCCCAGAUAUUGCAGGUUCUUCUUAGCUUUUCCAGAUACGUUUAAAAGAUUGAAGCCUUUUUUCUCCGGAAUAUGCACCGCUAAUUAAUUUUCUUUUUAAUUUCCCAGCCCAUGCUUCAAGAAUUGGGAAAGCAGAAUCCCCAACUGAUGAGACUAAUUCAGGAGCAUCAGGCUGACUUCCUUCGCCUGAUCAAUGAACCUGUCGAGGGCGGCGAGGAGUAAGCAUCUGUUUCUGCUGGUUCGUUUGUUUGUUGUUGAAUGAAUCGAGGAUGUCUCUCUCUGUACUUAAUCCCUCAAGCUAUUUUAUGCAGGGGCAUAUUGGGGCAGCUUGCUGCUGCAAUGCCGCAGGCGGUGCAAGUGACUCCCGAAGAGCGCGAAGCACUGGGCCGAGUAAGUAUAAAAUCAAAAUAGUACUGCAGCAUGAAAAACAACCAUGAUUGCUUCAAGUCCUUAUUAAUCUGUGAUUCUACUGUGGGUGCAGCUUGAAGCAAUGGGGUUUGAUCCGCAAAUAGUGUUGGAAGUGUUCUUUGCAUGCAACAAGAACGAAGAACUGGCUGCCAACUAUCUCUUAGAUCACAUGAAUGAUUUUGAGGAAUGAUUUUAGAUUUGGGAAAAUGAUCAGCUUCUUCCCUAUUUGAUAUUUAGUUUUUCUUUUUAGUUCCCGAAUAUAUCUGUGAAUGACAUUUUAAAAAACAAAUAUGACGGAGUUGUAUUAUCAUGUUAUGUAGUCACAUGACGUUUCUUCUCUGGAUCUCACGUCUGCUUUCGUUGCAGGACUGUAACGUUAUUGAGACGGGUCGUAUGUACUACCUGUCUCAAUAUGCCUCUUUAACUUUAUGCAAGUUCGAGGAAUUCAGACACAUAGUUUGUGGUUGGGAUCGUGCUAAGUUCGAGCGUGACUCGCUACUACCCUUGACAACAAACUAAGAGUUCGUUUCAAACUUUGCAUACUAAAAAUCAUUUCUAAGAUCAAUUUUAUACACAACUUAUGAGUUGUUAGUUUGUUCAUUUAACUUUAUUUGUUAAAUGUACAGAUUUCAAACAUUCCUCAAAAUCCAAACAAGCGUUGGACUAGGCGAAAGUGAUUUGUCACUAUCGUCCACUUCAAACGACUGCGGCUAAAUAAUAUUUUUGGUGGCAUCUCUACUAGUCUUUACUUUAUCGGUUAAGAAAACCACUCAAAAUGAGCUACAGAUAUUACGAUUUCUAACUAGCUAAAAAUGAUGAUCACUAUAAAUCCUCCCCUUCCGUUUUAUUUAAAGGUCCCCUUCUGGUUAGAAAAAACUAAUAGGUGUGAAAGCAAAUAGAUUUGAGUAAGUGGUUAAAUAUUUGCACGUUGAUUAGUUCUUUAAUUCGUUGAAAUUUGGUUGAUUAGUUUUACUUUAUGUUUGAAGGUUAUCGAGUGUUCUGUUAGUAGCCCCUAACUUUAGUGAUCAUUUGUGUACUUAGCCUCUUCUUUAUCCACACAGACACUGAAAUCAGUAAAAUGUUGAUUUGGCGGAAAUGCCCUCCGCUAUUCCCUAUUUGCGAUUAUGUGCCUUCGGAGUCGUAAAGAUGUAUAAAAACCCUUUGGCAAUCGCGGAUGGCACAAAGAGCUGCUAGUGAAAUCGAGAGUGUGCGGUGUUUGUGACGGAGAUCGGAAGUCUCUGACAAACGAAGAAGCAGCACGCAGAGCAAGGAAUAAGUUACCGCGGCUGCCGACGAAGACGACGACGACCAAGCACGAUGAAGAUUUCCGUGAAAACUUUGAAGGGCAGUAAGUUCGAAAUCGAAGUCAAACCCCAAGACACGGUAAACCGCUGUUUCUUUGUUGUUGAGGGUUCCUGCUGUUGCGUAUUUAGCUGCUGAAAGUUGAAUUUCAGUCUAGGAAUCUAAGGACUGACUGUUGAUAUUUCAUUUGUUCAUAUUUCAAUCGAAUGUUACUGCAAUUCAAAUUGGUUGCUUUAACUCGACAUUCAGCUGUGUGUAUGGUAUUUCUGAUUCAUGGGCUGUGUUUUGGGAAUAGAUGUUUUGGCGUACAUGAUUGGAUUGUGUUUCUUAGAUUGACUCUGGAAAUUAGAGUUUAGUUGAACUAGUUACGCUAUGUUUCUCUUGUUCUUGUGAGGCUAGUGAUUGUACCUUGCUGUACCGUUCUAUGGGUACUGGAUUAGGCUCUGAAUUUCGUAUAUCGUCACCCUGGUCUUGUUUGUGGCUUUGAGAUAGAACAAUGACCUUGUUGCCUAUAAGUUGAGAUGAUAGAGCUUCCCUAGAUCAUAUCUAAAGCAAAAAAGUAGAUCCUCUUGCGAUAUGGCUUCAGAUUGGGAUCAGGGUGGGUAGUCAGAAAUCUAUCAUGGUAACUGGUAAGACAAAACAUCCGGUUCUUCGGUCUUUAGAAGGAACGAUCGUGGAAAGAAGAAUAAGCGUUUGUGUAAUGGCUUCCUUUAGCUUGUCAUUCUCUCGAACCAAUGGACUAUGGUUUAUUGGUCUUUUGACCUGGUGUCCUCUAAUGCGUUAAUCAUUUUCCAUCCGAAGAAUCUCCGUACAUGCUGUAGUACAUUACUGAUGACCACGUCCAUUGACAUUCAAUUUCUUACUGUUCUCCUUUGCUUCUAGAGUUAAAUUAGUGGAGAGAGGAGAAUCAAAGCGGUGAACUGGAAUUGCAUACAUACUGUCGAUACUUUUCAGAAAUUUCCUGUUUUUCUCUUUGAAAUCACCGAGUAAUGGUUGUCACGAUCCUAAUUUUUUAGUUGCUGAAUGUAGGUUGCUGAUGUAAAAAAUCAUAUAGAAACUGCACAGGGUGCAGAUGUUUACCCAGCUGGACAGCAGAUGCUCAUCUAUCAGGGGAAGGUUCUUAAAGAUAACACAACUCUCGAGGAGAAUAAAGUUGAGGAAAAUGGCUUUAUUGUUGUCAUGCUAUCAAAGGUGAAAUCAAGCAUAUUUUCGUUAUUUAAUUUUUCUUUGUGGUUCUUUUUGUGGUGUUCCUAGACUAAUGGUUUAAUUUUCUCAUGCUGCGAUUUGCUUUGACAACUGUAGAGCAAAAGCUCAUCUGGGGAAGGUUCGACUGCUUCAACAGGAAAGGUAAUAUUGGAAACUCGCAUGGGGAUUAUGCUCUGUUAGUUUUGGGGUUUUUGGUUUGGUGCAUGCAUGUGUGCUGCCAUACGUUGUCUUGCCUAAAUCCUUUUAGUUCAGCUGGUCUUCUUUGAUGGGGCAUCCCUCAUUGGUUAUUGUUCGGAUAAUGAGGUUAUGGUUGUUCGCAUAGGCACCUCAGACUAGUGAUCCAUUAGCAACGGCACCUCAGACUGGUGCCCCAUUGUCAACAGCACCUCAAGCUCCUGCAGCAACACCGU
rnacentral:lncRNA from 1 species